GACAAGCACCGGCGGACGGCUCAGUAACACGUGGACAACCUGCCCUCGGGAGGGGGAUAACCCCGGGAAACUGGGGCUAAACCCCCAUAGGAGAUGGAUACUGGAAUGUUCCAUCUCCGAAAGUCCGCAAGGAGCCCGAGGAUGGGUCUGCGGCGGAUUAGGUAGUUGGUGGGGUAACGGCCUACCAAGCCUAAGAUCCGUACGGGCCAUGGGAGUGGGAGCCCGGAGAUGGACCCUGAGACUAGGGUCCAGGCCCUACGGGGCGCAGCAGGCGCGAAACCUCCGCAAUGCGGGAAACCGCGACGGGGUCAGCCGGAGUGCCGAUGCUUGCAUCGGCUGUCGGGGAGCCUAAAAAGCUCCCCAUAGCAAGGGCCGGGCAAGGCCGGUGGCAGCCGCCGCGGUAAUACCGGCGGCCCGAGUGGCGGUCACUAUUAUUGGGCUUAAAGCGUCCGUAGCCGGGUUGGGAAGUCCUCCGGGAAAUCUGGCCGCUUAACGGUCAGAAUGCCGGAGGAUACUCCCAGCCUAGGGAGCGGGAGAGGCCGAGGGUAUUCCCGGAGUAGGGGUGAAAUCCUAUAAUCCCGGGAGGACCACCUGUGGCGA
rnacentral:rRNA from 1 species